UGGGGAAUAUUGCACAAUGGGCGCAAGCCUGAUGCAGCCAUGCCGCGUGUAUGAAGAAGGCCUUCGGGUUGUAAAGUACUUUCAGCGGGGAGGAAGGUGUUGUGGUUAAUAACCACAGCAAUUGACGUUACCCGCAGAGGAAGCACCGGCUAACUCCGUGCCAGCAGCCGCGGUAAUACGGAGGGUGCAAGCGUUAAUCGGAAUUACUGGGCGUAAAGCGCACGCAGGCGGUCUGUCAAGUCGGAUGUGAAAUCCCCGGGCUCAACCUGGGAACUGCAUCCGAAACUGGCAGGCUUGAGUCUUGUAGAGGGGGGUAGAAUUCCAGGUGUAGCGGUGAAAUGCGUAGAGAUCUGGAGGAAUACCGGUGGCGAAGGCGGCCCCCUGGACAAAGACUGACGCUCAGGUGCGAAAGCGUGGGGAGCAAACA
rnacentral:rRNA from 1 species